rnacentral:rRNA from 1 species
UACGGGGGGGGCGAGCGUUGUUCGGAAUUAUUGGGCGUAAAGGGCGCGUAGGCGGCCUGACAAGUGGAAAAUGAAAUCCCUCGACUCAACUGAGGAACUGCCCUCCAAACUGUUUGGCUUGAGACCAGGAGAGGUGAGUGGAAUUCCCAGUGUAGCGGUGAAAUGCGUAGAUAUUGGGAGGAACACCAGUGGCGAAGGCGGCUCACUGGACUGAUACUGACGCUGAGGCGCGAAAGCGUGGAGAGCAAACAGG